ACACCCUUAUGGAGCAGGACUUACUUUAGUGGGGCUUUGGUGCUCACUGAGUCUGCCCCUUGAGUGUGUAGUU
rnacentral:pre_miRNA from 1 species